GGCUGGUCUAAAGGUAGUCAGUUAUCUCAAUUGAUUGUUCACAGUCAGUUACAGAUCAAACUCCUUGCUCUACUCUUUCCGCCUUUCUCACUACUGCACUUGACUAGUCUAAA
ensembl:misc_RNA Y_RNA Y RNA